ACGGAGGAUGCAAGCGUUAUCCGGAUUCAUUGGGUUUAAAGGGUGCGCAGGCGGAUUAAUAAGUCAGUGGUGAAAUCCUACGGCUCAACUGUAGAACUGCCAUUGAAACUGUUAGUCUUGAGUAGUGUUGAGGUAGGUGGAAUGUGUCAUGUAGCGGUGAAAUGCUUAGAUAUGACGCAGAGCACCGAUCGCGAAGGCGGCUUACCAAGCAAUUACUGACGCUCAUGCGCGAGAGCGUGGGUAUCAAACAG
rnacentral:rRNA from 1 species